GCCAGGUGAGUGGUGCACACCUGUAAUCCCAGGGGCUCAGGAGGCUGAGGCAGGAGGAUCGUGAGUUCAAAGCCAGCCUCAGCAAAAGCAAGGUGCCAAGCAACUCAGUGAGACCCUGUCUCUA
rnacentral:sRNA from 1 species